rnacentral:lncRNA from 1 species
GGACAUUGUGUUGCCACUUUCAUAGUCCAGUCACUGCAACCCAUUCGGGGUGGAAAGGAGCCUGGUUCUCAUCAGUAAUGUUGUCAUCUCUGGUUUUUUGUCUGUGCCUGCAGGACUUCAUUCACCUCUCAGCCACCCAUCCCUGCAGUCCUCCCUAAGCAAUCCCAACCUCCAGGCUUCCCUGAGCAGUCCUCAGCCCCAGCUCCAGGGUUCCCACAGUCACCCCUCACUGCCUGCCUCCUCGUUGACCCGCCAUGCACUGCCCACCACCUCCCUGGGCCACCCAUCACUCAGUGCCCCGGCCCUCUCCUCCUCCUCUUCCUCUUCCUCCACUUCCUCACCCAUCCUGGGCACUCCCCCUUACCCAGCUUCUACCCCUGGGGCCUCCCCCCGUCACCGCCGUGUCCCCCUCAGCCCCCUGAGUUUGCCCGCGGGCCCAGCCGACGCCAGAAGGUCCCAACAGCAGCUGCCCAAACAGUUUUCGCCAACAAUGUCACCCACCUUGUCUUCCAUCACUCAGGUAUGCGUGGCUGCUUCCCCACACGUCUGUCUCCCUUCCUCUUCUCUUCUCCUGCAGAGUUUCUCCCUCCAGCCCUCCUUUCCUCAGAUACCUCCUCCCCUUACUUUCUGCACCCUUUGUCUCAUCCAUCCCCUGCUACCCCUGUGUGUCCUCCACCUGCCACAUCUUUUAUUUGUCUGUCUCCUCUUUGCUUACGAACCCCAGGGUUAGCCUUUGGUUUCAAAUCCUGGUUCUGCCUUUCCUAGGAGUCCCCUUUGACAACCUCUGUGUGUCUCAGUAGUCUCCUUUAUAAAACAGAAUCGGCUUUGUAAGCAUCGAGUGCCGUAAGGGACAUGGAGUACUUUGCACCGUGCCUGCCAGCCCAGGCCCGUGCUUGGCAGAUGAUAGCUUAUCCUCUCCUUUUUAUCUUUUCUCUGUUCUCACUCUUCUUGUCUCUUUAUUUUUUGCCCGAGCUUCUGUCUUUUCCCAUCGCCUCUCCCAUUUCCCCUCCUUCUUAGAAUUCGUAGAAUCAGAGACUCUCUGACCGUGGAGCUCAGUCUCUUUCCACUUUACAGAUGAGGAAACUGGGGCCUAGAGGGAAGGUGGCUUCCCCAGAUUCACCUGGCAGGUUGGAACUAGAACUGCAGACUCAGAACUUAGGACUUUUUCCUCAGCGCUAAAGCACUAAGCUCUACUCUCCUCCCCACCCUUCCUUACUCUUUUCUUUCUUUGUCAUCUCUGCUCCCAUUUCUCACCCUUAUGCUCUCUUUUCCCUCUCCUCUGUCCUACCUUCCCCUCCUCCUCCGUUCUGUCCCCUGGAGUGUGUGUUCUGGGUUCCAUCUCUGCCUUCUCCUCUAAGACCACGGCCAGGCCACAGGUGCUCCGUGAUUUCAGUGGCAGAGGGAAGGAACCUCUCCUCCCUCCUUUUCUGCUUUUCCUUCCUUUCUCUUCCACUUCCUCUGGCCUCUUCAGUCUUCAGAACAACCCCUUUCACCUGCACUGGGUGUUAACAGGCACUUGUGAGGGUGUGUCACAAGUACUUGAUUACUGACGACCAUUAAGCUGUCAGUGUUGGGGAAGGAUUCCUUUCUGGAGCAGGUUCAGUAUUACCCUAGUGUUAACCUCUCUCAGCACUUCCAUUCUAAUAUGCAUGUUUUUGAAAAAUAUUUUUUUAGUUAUAGAUGGACACAAUAUCUUUAUUCAUUUAUUUUAUGUGGUGCUGAGGAUUGAACCCAGUGCCUCACACUUGCGAGGCAGGCGCUGUACCACUGAGCCACAGUCCCAGUCCUAAUAUGCAUUUUUGAGUUACUGCCACCAAGCUCAGGGGUGCCCAUGAGAACAUGGAGCGUUAUCAUGUUUGCAUUGAGGGUGGCUGCAGCUUAGAGAAUGGGAAGCUCUAUGAGUUUUUCUUGGAGGGCUAAGUUUCCUCCAUUUUCUUGUUUCUUUUCAGGGCGUCCCCCUGGACACCAGUAAACUGUCUACUGAUCAGCGACUGCCCCCCUACCCAUACAGCCCUCCAAGUCUGGUUCUGCCCACCCAGCAACCCACCCCAAAGCCUCUGCAGCAGCCAGGGCUACCUGCUCAGGCCUGUUUAGUGCAGCCCUCUGGUGGCCAACCCCCAGGCAGGCAGCCACAUUAUGGAAUACUGUACCCACCUGGGUCCACUGGGCACGGGCAACAGUCUCACCACCGGCCAGUGAGUGACUUCAGCCUGGGAAAUGUGAGUACUCAGGCUCCUAGCUCAGAAGCAGGGAGAGGGGCUGGGGUGGGUCCGGGGGGCCUGAGUGGUAUCUCUGAAUUACGACAUCCAGAAGAAGGGGUCUCCCUUUGUCUCAGGUAACAGCACUGCCAGCUUGGGGCUCCUGUUUUCCUGCGUUUGACCCCUACUCCUGCCCCCCUGUUUCUGCUCAGCUUGCUCUUUGAUGACUCCUGCCUUGACCCGUUCUCUUCCUGGCAUGCACAUGCUCUGGCCCAGCAGGUACGGUGCCCAUACCUACUUCGGGCCCCGUGCUCGCUUCUCUUGCUCUGCUUGCUGCCAGCCUCCUCUGUCUUUGCCUCUGUUCCUGGGGUGGAUGAAGAUUGCUGGGUGAAGGGGACAUGUUAACAUGUCUGGGCAAGGGCAGGCAGGGACAUCCUGUUCUGAAGCCUACUUCUUCAAGAUGUGUCUUUGUGUCUUUAGCUGGAGCAGUUCAGCAUGGAGACCCCAUCAACCAAUCUGGUGCUGGAUCCCCCUGGCUUUUCUGAAGGGCCUGGAUUUUUAGGGGAUGAGGGGUCAGUGAGUGGCCCCCAGGACCCUCACACCCUCAACCACCAGAACUUGACCCACUGUUCCCGCCAUGGCUCAGGACCUAACAUUGUCCUCACAGGUGAGUGGGCAUGGGUGGUGAUGGCAGUGAAAGGAAGGGAGUGGGGCCGUGGUUGGGGCUCAGCCGCAGCACACUUGCCUGGCAUGUGUGAGGCACUGGGUUCGAUUCUUAGCAUCACAUAUAAAUAAAUAAAAUAAAGGUCAUCAACAACUAAAAAAAUAUUAAAAAAAAAAAUAAAAGGGAAGGAGUGAUACCUUUGCCAACAUAAGAAAUGGAGGAGUCUUGGGGGAGUUCAUGAGGUAUGCGGUCCUUACUUAUCUCUUACCCACAGGAGACUCCUCCCCAGGAUUCUCCAAGGAAAUCGCAGCGGCCCUGGCUGGAGUGCCUGGCUUUGAGGUGUCAGCAACUGGAUUGGAGCUGGGGCUUGGGUUGGAGGAUGAGCUGCGCAUGGAGCCACUGGGCCUGGAAGGGCUAAACAUGCUGAGUGACCCCUGUGCCCUGCUGCCCGAUCCUGCUGUAGAGGAUUCAUUCCGCAGUGACCGGCUACAGUGAGGGAACCUUGCCACCAUCCUUCUCGGCCCCAUCUCCCGUCACUGUCCCUUUCCUCCCUUUCCCCUGGCCAGUAACGACUCCACUCUCUGCCCCCGUGUUCUCUUUCUAACAUGAACAAAGGAUCCUAAGAAUGAGAAAAAGCAAGGGGUUUGUCCAGGUGGCCCCUGAAUUCUGCACAAUGGGUAGGCCUGGGGGAGCCCAAGGGAGGGCCUAAAGCACUUGUAACUUUGAAAAACGUCUGUCUGGAGGUCAGAGCCUGUUGGAAAGCAGGGGUAGAGGGGAACCCCAGAGGCAGGGCUUACCCAGAUGCCUAGGGGUGGGCAGUGCCAGCCCCUCCUCACUACUCUUCUCCUUGCAAUGGAGGAAAAGAGCCAGAGUGGAUAUUAUUUUUUAUUAAAUAUAUUAUAUGUUAAUAAAAAAAUCCUGUCAAACCCUUGGUGUGG